rnacentral:rRNA from 1 species
CUCGUAGGCGGCCAACUAAGUCGGACGUGAAAUCCCUCGGCUCAACCGAGGAACUGCGUCCGAUACUGGAUGGCUUGAGUUCGGGAGAGGGAUGCGGAAUUCCAGGUGUAGCGGUGAAAUGCGUAGAUAUCUAGAGGAACACCGGUGGCGAAGGCGGCAUCCUGGACCGACACUGACGCUGAGUGAGCGAAAGCCAGGGGAGCAAACG